UCCUGCCAGUAGUCAUAUGCUUGUCUCAAAGAUUAAGCCAUGCAUGUCUAAGUAUAAGCAAUUAUACAGCGAAACUGCGAAUGGCUCAUUAAAUCAGUUAUCGUUUAUUUGAUAGUACCUUACUACUUGGAUAACCGUGGUAAUUCUAGAGCUAAUACAUGCUAAAAAUCCCGACUCACGGAGGGAUGUAUUUAUUAGAUUAAAAACCAAUGCCCCUCGGGGCUUUCUGGUGAUUCAUAAUAACUUUACGAAUCGCAUGGCCUUGCGCCGGCGAUGGUUCAUUCAAAUUUCUGCCCUAUCAACUUUCGAUGGCAAGGUCUUGGC
rnacentral:rRNA from 14 species